GUAGGGGGCAAGCGUUAACCGGAUUUACUGGGUGUAAAGGGAGCGUAGACGGUAGAGCAAGUCUGAAGUGAAAGCCCGCGGCUCAACUGCGGGACUGCUUUGGAAACUGUUCAACUGGAGUGCUGGAGAGGUAAGCGGAAUUCCUAGUGUAGCGGUGAAAUGCAUAGAUAUUAGGAGGAACACCAGUGGCGAAGGCGGCUUACUGGACAGUAACUGACGUUGAGGCUCGAAAGCGUGGGGAGCAA
rnacentral:rRNA from 1 species